AACGCACAUUGCACCCGGUGGUAUUCCGCCGGGUAUGCCUGUUCGAGCGUCAUUUCUGCCCUCAGGCCCCGUGGAUUGCCGUAAAUAUAAUUUAUAGUAGUUACGGGUACUGGUGUUGGGGAUCUACAGCGCCUUUGGCCUCCUCGUAGUCCCUUAAAUUUACCGGCGUACGCGCUGUUUGUGUCCUUUGCGUAGUGGUUUUACUUUCUCGCACCGGGCCGCAGCGCUGUGUAGCCGCUAAACCCCAACUUUUACUAAAAGCUUGACCUCGAAUCAGGUAGGGUUACCCGCUGAACUUAA
rnacentral:misc_RNA from 1 species